rnacentral:rRNA from 1 species
UACAGAGGUCUCAAGCGUUGUUCGGAUUCAUUGGGCGUAAAGGGUGCGUAGGCGGCGCGGUAAGUCGGGUGUGAAAUCUCGGGCUUAACUCCGAAACUGCAUUCGAUACUGCCGUGCUUGAGGACUGGAGAGGAGACUGGAAUUUACGGUGUAGCGGUGAAAUGCGUAGAUAUCGUAAGGAAGACCAGUAGGCGAAGGCGGGUCUC